rnacentral:piRNA from 1 species
AGGAAGUGCUUUCUCAUUGCCUCCCGGUAGC